rnacentral:rRNA from 1 species
AAGGUUAAGCCUCACGGUUCAUUAGUACCGGUUAGCUCAACGCAUCGCUGCGCUUACACACCCGGCCUAUCAACGUCGUCGUCUUCAACGUUCCUUCAGGACUCUCAAGGAGUCAGGGAGAACUCAUCUCGGGGCAAGUUUCGUGCUUAGAUGCUUUCAGCACUUAUCUCUUCCGCAUUUAGCUACCGGGCAGUGCCAUUGGCAUGACAACCCGAACACCAGUGAUGCGUCCACUCCGGUCCUCUCGUACUAGGAGCAGCCCCCUCAGUUCUCCAGCGCCCACGGCAGAUAGGGACCGAACUGUCUCACGACGUUCUAAACCCAGCUCGCGUACCACUUUAAAUGGCGAACAGCCAUACCCUUGGGACCUACUUCAGCCCCAGGAUGUGAUGAGCCGACAUCGAGGUGCCAAACACCGCCGUCGAUAUGAACUCUUGGGCGGUAUCAGCCUGUUAUCCCCGGAGUACCUUUUAUCCGUUGAGCGAUGGCCCUUCCAUUCAGAACCACCGGAUCACUAUGACCUGCUUUCGCACCUGCUCGCGCCGUCACGCUCGCAGUCAAGCUGGCUUAUGCCAUUGCACUAACCUCCUGAUGUCCGACCAGGAUUAGCCAACCUUCGUGCUCCUCCGUUACUCUUUAGGAGGAGACCGCCCCAGUCAAACUACCCACCAGACACUGUCCGCAACCCGGAUUACGGGUCAACGUUAGAACAUCAAACAUUAAAGGGUGGUAUUUCAAGGUCGGCUCCAUGCAGACUGGCGUCCACACUUCAAAGCCUCCCACCUAUCCUACACAUCAAGGCUCAAUGUUCAGUGUCAAGCUAUAGUAAAGGUUCACGGGGUCUUUCCGUCUUGCCGCGGGUACACUGCAUCUUCACAGCGAGUUCAAUUUCACUGAGUCUCGGGUGGAGACAGCCUGGCCAUCAUUACGCCAUUCGUGCAGGUCGGAACUUACCCGACAAGGAAUUUCGCUACCUUAGGACCGUUAUAGUUACGGCCGCCGUUUACCGGGGCUUCGAUCAAGAGCUUCGCUUGCGCUAACCCCAUCAAUUAACCUUCCGGCACCGGGCAGGCGUCACACCGUAUACGUCCACUUUCGUGUUUGCACAGUGCUGUGUUUUUAAUAAACAGUUGCAGCCAGCUGGUAUCUUCGACUGAUUUCAGCUCCAUCCGCGAGGGACUUCACCUACAUAUCAGCGUGCCUUCUCCCGAAGUUACGGCACCAUUUUGCCUAGUUCCUUCACCCGAGUUCUCUCAAGCGCCUUGGUAUUCUCUACCUGACCACCUGUGUCGGUUUGGGGUACGAUUUGAUGUUACCUGAUGCUUAGAGGCUUUUCCUGGAAGCAGGGCAUUUGUUGCUUCAGCACCGUAGUGCCUCGUCAUCACGCCUCAGCCUUGAUUUUCCGGAUUUGCCUGGAAAACCAGCCUACACGCUUAAACCGGGACAACCGUCGCCCGGCCAACAUAGCCUUCUCCGUCCCCCCUUCGCAGUAACACCAAGUACAGGAAUAUUAACCUGUUUCCCAUCGACUACGCCUUUCGGCCUCGCCUUAGGGGUCGACUCACCCUGCCCCGAUUAACGUUGGACAGGAACCCUUGGUCUUCCGGCGAGCGGGCUUUUCACCCGCUUUAUCGUUACUUAUGUCAGCAUUCGCACUUCUGAUACCUCCAGCAUGCCUCACAGCACACCUUCGCAGGCUUACAGAACGCUCCCCUACCCAACAACGCAUAAGCGUCGCUGCCGCAGCUUCGGUGCAUGGUUUAGCCCCGUUACAUCUUCCGCGCAGGCCGACUCGACCAGUGAGCUAUUACGCUUUCUUUAAAUGAUGGCUGCUUCUAAGCCAACAUCCUGGCUGUCUGGGCCUUCCCACAUCGUUUCCCACUUAACCAUGACUUUGGGACCUUAGCUGGCGGUCUGGGUUGUUCCCUCUUCACGACGGACGUUAGCACCCGCCGUGUGUCUCCCGUGAUAACAUUCUCCGGUAUUCGCAGUUUGCAUCGGGUUGGUAAGUCGGGAUGACCCCCUUGCCGAAACAGUGCUCUACCCCCGGAGAUGAAUUCACGAGGCGCUACCUAAAUAGCUUUCGGGGAGAACCAGCUAUCUCCCGGUUUGAUUGGCCUUUCACCCCCAGCCACAAGUCAUCCGCUAAUUUUUCAACAUUAGUCGGUUCGGUCCUCCAGUUAGUGUUACCCAACCUUCAACCUGCCCAUGGCUAGAUCACCGGGUUUCGGGUCUAUACCCUGCAACUUAACGCCCAGUUAAGACUCGGUUUCCCUUCGGCUCCCCUAUUCGGUUAACCUUGCUACAGAAUAUAAGUCGCUGACCCAUUAUACAAAAGGUACGCAGUCACACGCCUAAGCGAGCUCCCACUGCUUGUACGUACACGGUUUCAGGUUCUUUUUCACUCCCCUCGCCGGGGUUCUUUUCGCCUUUCCCUCACGGUACUGGUUCACUAUCGGUCAGUCAGGAGUAUUUAGCCUUGGAGGAUGGUCCCCCCAUAUUCAGACAGGAUACCACGUGUCCCGCCCUACUCAUCGAGCUCACAGCAUGUGCAUUUUUGUGUACGGGGCUGUCACCCUGUAUCGCGCGCCUUUCCAGACGCUUCCACUAACACACAUACUGAUUCAGGCUCUGGGCUGCUCCCCGUUCGCUCGCCGCUACUGGGGGAAUCUCGGUUGAUUUCUUUUCCUCGGGGUACUUAGAUGUUUCAGUUCCCCCGGUUCGCCUCAUUAACCUAUGGAUUCAGUUAAUGAUAGUGUGUCGAAACACACUGGGUUUCCCCAUUCGGAAAUCGCCGGUUAUAACGGUUCAUAUCACCUUACCGACGCUUAUCGCAGAUUAGCACGUCCUUCAUCGCCUCUGACUGCCAGGGCAUCCACCGUGUACGCUUAGUCGCUUAA